rnacentral:rRNA from 1 species
GACGAACGCUGGCGGCGUGCUUAACACAUGCCAGUCGAACGGAAAGGCCCUGCUUGCAGGGUACUCGAGUGGCGAACGGGUGAGUAACACGUGGGUGAUCUGCCCUGCACUUCGGGAUAAGCCUGGGAAACUGGGUCUAAUACCGGAUAGGGGCCAUUUUUAGUGUGAUGGUUGGAAAGUUUUUUCGGUGUAGGAUGAGCUCGCGGCCUAUCAGCUUGUUGGUGGGGUAAUGGCCUACCAAGGCGGCGACGGGUAGCCGGCCUGAGAGGGUGGACGGCCACAUUGGGACUGAGAUACGGCCCAGACUCCUACGGGAGGCAGCAGUGGGGAAUAUUGCACAAGGGGCGCAAGCCUGAUGCAGCGACGCCGCGUGGGGGAGGACGGCCUUCGGGUUGUAAACUCCUUUCGCUAGGGACGAAGCUUUUUGUGACGGUACCUAGAGAAGAAGCACCGGCUAACUACGUG